rfam:Loxodonta africana unplaced genomic scaffold scaffold_39, whole genome shotgun sequence.
UGCCUGCUUCAGCAGCAAUAGACCAAAAUUGGAAUUACACAGAGGAGAUAAGCAUGGGGCCCCUGUGCCAGGACGACAUGCAAAUUUGUGAAAGUAUUCCAUAUCUU